rnacentral:tRNA from 1 species
UCCCUCGUGGCGCAAUUGGCUAGCGCGUUCGACUGUUAGUAACAAGGCCUGCAAUCGAGAGGUUGGUGGUUCGAGCCCACCCGAGGGAG